UCCAGACUCCUACGGGAGGCAGCAGUGGGGAAUAUUGCACAAUGGGGGAAACCCUGAUGCAGCGACGCCGCGUGAGUGAAGAAGUAAUUCGUUAUGUAAAGCUCUAUCAGCAGGGAAGAAAAUGACGGUACCUGAGUAAGAAGCCCCGGCUAACUACGUGCCAGCAGCCGCGGUAAUACGUAGGGGGCAAGCGUUAUCCGGAUUUACUGGGUGUAAAGGGGGCGCAGACGGCAAUGCAAGCCAGGAGUGAAAGCCCGGGGCCCAACCCCGGGACUGCUCUUGGAACUGCAUGGCUGGAGUACAGGAGGGGCAGGCGGAAUUCCUAGUGUAGCGGUGAAAUGCGUAGAUAUUAGGAGGAACACCGGUGGCGAAGGCGGCCUACUGGACGGUGACUGACGCUGAGGCUCGAAAGCGUGGGGAGCAAACAGGAUUAGAUACCCCGGUAGCG
rnacentral:rRNA from 1 species